AAGAAGUGUGUGCACCCUUCACGUGUGAGUGCCCUCUGUUGUGGCAGAGCUGAUUCAGGGUGGUUGGUUCACGUCCUGGUGUAUCCUGCCUGCCUGUCCUGAGCUCUGUGGCUCUCAGAGAGUGUAACUGUACCCGUGCUGGCAGUGCCACGCGUGGUGGCAUUGCUGACUCCCUCGCUGGAGGCCAGCCAGGAGCAGGCAGUUCUGUGCAGAGACAAAUCAGUACAAACGGACAUGCAACACCCAGCUCCCUUUUCCCUCACCUGUACUGCCUGCUAAAUCUGGAAAAGGAGCUUUCUGGCUUGCUGUCCUGCAUGGUUCUGCUGGUUUUACUGUGUGAGAGAUCUUUGCCAUAUGUACGAUUGCUUUGUUUGUAAUUUGUAGCUGCUCAAAGGGAGCUGCAGGUUAUAUUGCUGUUGGGGCCUUUUGAAGGCAAAAGUUUGUUAAUUGUGUUAUAAGCAUGGUUAAAAUCGAAAGCAUAACCAUGUCGUAUUUAUUCCUGUUCUGCCGUGACAGCCCAGAGCUGUAACACACCAAAAUGUUAUGCUUGAAAGAAUUUUCCUCAUUUGCAUGCGGUGUUGACUUAAACUUUUAACAGAAAAUGGAAGCGUUUUGUUGUAGUUACAUUUUUCUGCAAGUGUGCCCUGUGAAUCUGAUGUGGUUUAGAUUUAUGGCAGUGCUGAGUGUGUUCACUGCCUCUGUCAGCUGCGAGAGCUCUCCCGCUGGGGCCGCUCCUCCCUGAUGGAAAAGGAGCAGCUGGGAAGGUGCUGUUUCAGGCUCUUGCUGGCAUUAAAAAAAAAAAAAAAAAGGAAAAAACAAACUCCUCACACACUUACAUUGGAGAGGGGGAACCAGGCCACGUGACUCCCACCAUCCUACCCUAUGUCACCGUGUGUGUAGGAGCGCUGACUGCUCCUGCCCAAUCAUGCCUGGAAUGCUGCUUGCCACUUGGGCUAUUUCUGCUAUCUGUCGCUCCCAGGGCUGCAGUGCUAACCGUUUGGCAGAUGGGACACUUUUCCUCGGAGUUCAUGUCUUUGGUUUUUAACUUCUGGCAGUGCCUGAAUUGUUGCUGUUCUCCCUCUCCUUUUCUCCUCUCUGUAAAACCAUGGCCCAUCGGCUGCGGUUUCAUUUUGGCUCUGGGAGAAGCAACACAGCCCCCGAAUCGGAGAUCCUUGCCCGGGAGAGAGAAGAUGACUUUUUCAUGGCAUUCCACACGUUGCCAAGAAGAAGCAGCCCUCACGCGUUCUCGCGGCACGGAGCGGGUUAUGGCGGCGACGGAGAUGUGCACGAAGUGGGCUCCUUGAAGAGGAGCACAUCCAUGUUUAUCCCGCAGCUGCUGAACGGCGUCGACGCGCGCCCCACCAGGAGCUCCUCCAUGCAGAUCUCGCUGCAGCGCAAAGCUGCCGACGGCUGCGCCGACGAGUGCGCGGCCCUGGAGCCCGCGGAGGAGACGCUUCCCUGGCGCUUCUCUGACUUCAGGGAGCCUUACGCAUCCCCCGGUGAAAAGCGCUCUUCUCCGAGCGCUCCGCAGGUGCCUCCUGAAAGUUCUUCGCCCAGGCUGGUGGAAGAGUUGGGGCAGCAGACAGACGGAAGCGUUUGCUGUAACCGUAGAAUGUUUUGUGGCACUAACCCCCAGAGCGAGGAGGCUCUGCCGGCUGCCCAGCGAGAAGAAGCAAGCGAGGCGGCUCCGGGUUUAAACAUAAGUGGUGUGAGGAUUCAGCAUCGGGCCUCAAGUGCAGAGGUGCCUCAAGUUACUCUACUUCCCUUUGGUCCCGAGGCUCCAAAUAGUGCUCCCACCUCUGAACCCCGGCGCUGGUCCUUGCAGCAUGUGCCAGAUCCCUCAGCAAAUUCAGGGAAAAAGUUCUUUGUUCUCCAGUUACAGCAGCCACAGGCAAGCAGUACAGGCGCAGGAGGUGGAGGUAACUUUGGCUUUACUGGAACCAAAGGGGACAGAUUGGUCAGGUACCCUCGGAUACGGCUGGAAAGGAGUACUUCCUACCCUGUCCAGCCACCAGCAGAAGGAAUUAGCCCCGCAGCUGAUGGGCUGAACUCGGAGCUGCCUGGAAACAGCAGGAACAGGGCAGAAAUACCUAGAAGCAAUUCAGUAGAGAGGAUGCCUCAAGGGCAGGGAUGCUUGUUUAAAAUCAGACCAGAUCAAAACAUGAGGCAGCAGCACUUCAGGAUUCUUGUCACGCGCGGGCCGGAAGAACAGAGUCAGGGGGCUGGUGAGGAGGGUCGUGGCACCCCUGCUCCUGCGGCAGCCGGCACCGCAACCAGAGACGACUUCCUGGGCCAGGUGGAUGUGCCGCUCAGUCACCUGCCGACUGAAGACCCAACCAUGGAGAGGCCUUACACAUUUAAGGAUUUCCUCCUCAGACCAAGAAGCCACAAAUCUCGUGUGAAGGGUUUCUUGAGACUGAAGAUGGCAUAUAUGCCCAAAAAUGGUGGCCAAGAGGAAGAAAACAGUGAUCAGAGGGAUGACUCUGAGCACGGCUGGGACGUGGUGGAUCCCGGCGAUGCCGCAUCGCAGCGUCAGGAGGAGCUGCCGCCUCCCCCGCUGCCCCCGGGCUGGGAGGAGAAGGUGGACAACCUGGGCCGCACCUACUACGUGAACCACAACAACAGGAGCACCCAGUGGCACCGGCCCAGCCUCGUCGACGUGGGAUCCGAGUCAGAUAACAACAUCAGGCAGAUAAACCAAGAGGCAGCUCACAGGCGCUUCCGCUCUCGGCGCCACAUCAGCGAGGAUUUGGAGCCAGAGCCUGCGGAGAGUGGAGACAUUCCUGAGCCUUGGGAAACCAUUUCAGAGGAGGCAAGUGCCAGUGGGGAUUCCUUAAGCUUGUCACUGCCACCUCCUCCUGCAUCUCCAGUGUCCCGGACCAGUCCUCAGGAGCUGUCUGAGGAGCUGAGCAGAAGACUCCAGGUCACUCCUGAUUCCAAUGGGGAACAACUCGGCUCUUUGAUUCAAAGAGAACCUUCUUCACGACUGAGGUCCUGCAGUGUGACAGACACAGUCGCUGAACAGUCCCAGCUAUCCCUGCAGAAUGGUCCCUCUAGGAGAGCUCGUUCUUCAACUGUCACAGGGGGCGAGGAGCCAACGCCUUCUGUGGCUUACGUGCACACCACGCCGGGCUUACCUUCGGGCUGGGAGGAGCGCAAGGACGCCAAGGGCCGCACCUACUACGUCAACCACAACAACCGGACCACAACGUGGACACGGCCCAUCAUGCAGCUCGCCGAGGACGGGAUGGUGGGGCCGGGCGCGAGCAGCAGCAACCACCUGAGCGAGCCGCAGAUCCGGCGGCCGCGCAGCCUCAGCUCGCCCACCGUCACGCUGUCCGCGCCGCUCGAGGGCAUGAAGGACUCCCCGGUGCGCAGGGCGGUGAAGGACACCCUGUCCAACCCUCAGUCCCCACAGCCGUCCCCCUACAACUCGCCCAAGCCCCAGCACAAGGGGGCCCAGAGCUUCCUGCCCCCGGGCUGGGAGAUGCGCAUCGCCCCGAACGGCCGCCCCUUCUUCAUCGACCACAACACCAAGACCACCACCUGGGAGGAUCCACGGCUGAAGUUUCCGGUGCAUUUGAGAUCCAAAGCGUCUCUGAACCCCAAUGAUUUGGGCCCUCUUCCUCCUGGCUGGGAGGAAAGAAUACACCUGGAUGGAAGAACAUUUUAUAUAGACCAUAGAAGCCAGGUGUUGAUAUGUGGAGACAUUGAUACCAGAGACUUAGUGCCCUCCUACGAUAAUAAAAUCACGCAGUGGGAAGACCCCAGGCUGCAGAACCCAGCCAUCACGGGCCCAGCAGUGCCGUACUCCAGGGAGUUCAAGCAGAAAUACGACUAUUUCCGCAAGAAGUUGAAGAAACCUGCUGACAUACCCAACAGAUUUGAGAUGAAAUUACACAGAAAUAACAUUUUUGAGGAGUCCUACAGAAGAAUCAUGUCUGUGAAGAGACCUGAUGUACUAAAAGCCAGACUCUGGAUUGAAUUUGAGUCAGAAAAAGGACUUGACUACGGAGGUGUGGCCAGAGAAUGGUUUUUUCUCUUGUCCAAGGAGAUGUUUAACCCUUACUAUGGUCUCUUUGAAUACUCAGCAACGGACAACUACACACUUCAGAUUAAUCCUAAUUCAGGUCUCUGUAACGAAGACCACCUGUCGUACUUCACGUUCAUUGGCCGCGUGGCCGGCCUGGCCGUGUACCACGGGAAGCUGCUGGACGGCUUCUUCAUCAGGCCUUUCUACAAGAUGAUGCUGGGGAAGCCCAUAACGCUGAAGGACAUGGAAUCAGUGGACAGCGAAUACUACAACUCUCUGAAGUGGAUCCUGGAAAAUGACCCUACAGAGCUGGAUCUCAUGUUCUGCAUAGACGAGGAGAACUUUGGACAGACAUAUCAAGUGGACCUGAAGCCCAAUGGGUCUGAAAUCAUGGUAACGAAUGAAAACAAGCGGGAAUACAUUGACCUGGUCAUCCAGUGGCGGUUUGUCAACAGAGUGCAGAAACAAAUGAAUGCCUUUCUGGAGGGAUUCACAGAACUGCUUCCUAUUGAUCUGAUUAAAAUUUUUGAUGAAAAUGAACUGGAGGUGAGUCAAUUUGGUGCCCCAAGGUGACAGUUCUCUGACAGAUGCUCCAUGUUCUGGGCUCUUCAGUCAUCCAGCCCUCUCCCUGAGGGAAUGUGCAGACACAGCUGCCUUGCUCAGAGUUGGAAAUUAGAUGUUUCUUCCUAAUUAAUAAAUCUAUUCAUGACAUGCAAAGAACUGCACUCAGGGAGGUGCUUGGGGGUGUGCCUCUGAAAGCAGCUUAGUGGAUAAGUGCCAUCAUGCCUCUGCCAGUCACAUUUGAGCCAAACACAUGGAAGUUGCUGUCACAUUAUAUUCCAGUGGCUGGAGUAGUCUGGGAAGAAGCUCCAACUCUCCCCUGUGUGUGCAUAAAUGACUGGAGGUCAGAGGCCUGAGGGGCAGUGCCACCUCGUCACCCCCUGAGUGCAGGGAAGCACACACUCAUUCACAUCCCACCCUGCUCUCUCCCUGCAGUUACUGAUGUGUGGCCUUGGCGAUGUCGAUGUCAAUGACUGGAGACAACACACCAUCUACAAAAAUGGGUACUGCCCAAAUCAUCCCGUUAUCCAGUGGUUCUGGAAGGCUGUUCUGCUGAUGGACGCCGAGAAGCGGAUCCGGCUCCUGCAGUUUGUGACCGGGACGUCACGCGUGCCUAUGAACGGAUUUGCUGAACUCUACGGUUCAAAUGGUCCUCAACUGUUUACAAUAGAGCAGUGGGGAAGUCCUGAUAAGCUGCCCCGGGCUCACACCUGCUUUAACCGCCUAGACUUACCUCUGUAUGAAUCUUUCGAGGACCUGCGGGAGAAGCUCCUCAUGGCCGUGGAGAACGCCCAAGGGUUUGAAGGGGUGGAUUAACUCGGCAGCACCUAUUCCCUUCUCCAAGCACGUUCUGCUGGCUUUGGCACCUGCCCGAGGGACUCGGAGGGCUCGUGGCACGGCAGCUGCUGGGCUCUGGAGCAGCCCCCGGCAGCGCGGGGCCGAGCCCCGGGGCUGCCACGGGCACCUGGGCUGGCCUUGCUGAUGCUCCCGCACCCGUUGCGAACUGAUCACAUUUCAGCAGGACUUACUCUAUUUAUGUUGUGCCUCUGUAGGCAAAGCCCUUAAUAAAUAUUUUACACAAUUUCUAAUGGCAAUGAACGGAAUUAAUAAUUUUACAGGUAUAGUAUUACAACUCAUGUUUACUUCUUAAUUGAUUUAAACAUUUUCAGAUUUUAUUUCGUUACAAUUAAAUAUCAUAUACUUGGAAAAAUGAGCAUUUUUCUUAAUUUCAUACCAGACUUUUUUUUUUCAAAGCACGUUGAGCCUUGUGUUCCUAAACCAGGAGAGUAGGAGAAAGCUGUUGGCAGCUUUCUCUCCACAGGCUGUCUCUCAAAAGCAACUCUCUUCAUUAAGCACAUCACUGUUGUUCUGUAUCCAGGAGGAUGGGCUGGAUGUUGCAUUUUUGUACAAGUGCUAGAAGAGUGUCGAGGCACAGCAGAGCCCUGACACAGCAUGUCCAGGUCUCUGUUGUAGAUCUCUGAAACUGCCUCCUUACUGCCAAGCUGUACAUGUGCUACAAAGCAUCUGGGCUGGGCUGGCAUUUAGCCUUUGAGGAGAACAGGCUGAGCCCUGUCAUUCUCUCUGUACAGUGCUUUGUUUUCCAUCGUUUCUGCAUUCCUAUUUGCAAUGGAGGCAUUCCAAAUGAAAUCUGGCACUCUGGAACACAGCUCUGCUCUGGCUCCUGUUUGUGUGCAUUUACUAAUGAACCUAAUUAACACUGGGGUUGUUCAUUUCUAACAGCACCAACUCUGAAGGCACUUUCUGUACCACCGGGAAGGCAGACCUGGUUUGAGCAUGAAGUGACUGGGAUUUUACUCCUUCCCACUACACAUGUCCCUCUAUGGUGAAUUGGGCUGCUGCUGUGUAAAACCCCACCAGCUCUAGACCGGAGCCUGCAGACAUGUUCCUCAGUAAUUGUUUCUGUGAUUCCUUUUUUACUUACAAAGAUUUAUUUAAUAUACACUGCUAUCUAAUCCAUUUUGUUACCUGUGACAUGUUGCAUGCCUACUCUAUAAUGUCUGAGUUGCAUCUGUUUUCUGGCAGAUUAAAGGUGACAGAUUUGUGCUUGC